rnacentral:misc_RNA from 1 species
GUGACAAUAAUUCAUCAUUUUAAAGAAAAUAUGGGGGGAAAGAGUCACAAAUUUAAGAUAUAGCAACCUAGACUACGAAAGACUAAAUUAUUGACGUUGAUUUAUGCAACUACAAAUUUAAAAGGGUGACCCAAUGCAUGAAGAGGGCAUGACGUUAAAGUCACAAAUGGAGCAACUUUACCAUUAAACAAAAAGUUAUUGUUUGCCCCUUCAAUAUAGU